ACGGUGAAAUGACGGAUCCGUCGGCCCCGCGCCGGCGACUCGCCGAAUGAGUUCUGACCUAUCAACUCGAGACGGCGGGGUAGAGGCCCGCCGCGGUAACGACGGGUAACGGGGAAUCAGGGUUCGAUUCCGGAGAGGGAGCCCGAGAAAACGGCUACCACUUCCAAGGAAGGCAGCAGGCGCGCAACUUACCCUAAUCUCGAUUCGAGGAGGUAGUGACAAGAAAUACCGAUGCGGGACCCUACGGGUGCCGCGUUCGGAAUGAGUACGAUUCGAACCACCUAACGAGGAACGAUCGGAGGGCAAGUCUGGUGCCAGCAGCCGCGGUAAUUCCAGCUCCAAUAGCGUACGUUAAAGUUGCUGCAGUUAAAAAGCUCGUAGUUGAACGUUCGGGUUCCGCGGGACGGGGCCGCCCCCGCGAGGGACGGCGCCGCCCCCGGGGCUCGUGAUAUCUCAUCUCGCCGCCCGU
rnacentral:rRNA from 1 species